rnacentral:SRP_RNA from 1 species
GCUGGGCGCAGGGGCUCACGCCUGUAAUCCCAGCACUUUGGGAGGCUGAGGCGGGUGGAUCACCUGAGGUCAGGAGUUCGAGACCAGCCUGACCAACAUGGUGAAACCCCGUCUCUA